UCCUCCACAAGUUUCCAGACCCUUUGAGAUAGAAAAGUGACCUAUACAACUUAAUAUAAAGAAUAAACUAUAAUAUAAAUAUUGGGGCCUUUCCAUUCUGUUCAAGCCUUUCCCUUUGCUAAGAAAUGAGCUUUGACAUAAGAUUUUAAAUUUCUCUCUUUUUGUGGACAUAUUCAUAUUUGCCUCCUUUUUAAAGAAUCUUUUUUAGGGUGGCAGUUUUAUCUUUGUUUGCUAGCAUUUCAGAUAGUGUUUGUCUGCUAAGGAAGGAGAAAUUUAUUUAUUUCAUUUAUAUACAGCCUAUCCAAACUAGCUCAGGGUGGUUCACAAUUUCAGAAGCAACAUGUGUUUGAAGGAGAAGGUGUAUGCCAAGCAAACCUUUUAUGAUGAGGUCCAAAGUUUUUAAUUAGUCCUCUCCAAAACAGAUGCAUUCAUGACUCAUCUGAUGUUUUGCUUUUAGUAAACUUUGGACGUGGGUAUUAGUCACCAAAAACGUGACGGGUUGUAUCCAGACUUUGCAUGAGCAGAAGGAAGCUCACACAAGAGAACUUUUUCGUGCCCUUCUCCCAAAACAGCCCUCUGAAAAACUGCUUCUGGGGGACAGGGGACCCUUGGGAACAGGGUGGGAUGGAGCGGGGCGAGGGUUGCAGGAGGGGAAAUUGCCAAAAUCAGGCAGACACACUUUCUUCAUGGAUGGUAUCUCUACCUGAUCCAGUUCCAGACUGGAGAUCCAGCUCCAGACUGCACCAACCUUUUGCACUGAUAACCCUAAUUACCACUAGGGGCACUGGGAGUAGAGAUGGUCAGAUAAUGUCUCCUUCUCUUUCCUCUGGUUCUAUGGCCCCCUCAAUUGAUAGAGGAACUGACUGAGGAACUUCCUGGGUGUGAUUUCCUUCUUCCUCUUCCAAGAAUGCUUCUAGCUCUCUCUCUGACCACCAUGUAGCCAGCAGAAAGUAAAGAACAAUUUAAAAACAAAACAAGAUUGUCAGCUCUGGAUCUUACUUUUCCAAAGAAACAAUUAGAUGUUCCUGCAACCUGACCAGUUGCUAUGGUGAUCCUGUCAGGAUGGACAGCUAGGCUGCAAAAGAAACCUUUGUCAAAUAUAUCUGCAAGCACUGUUGACAACAAACGUAAAAUAAUCUAGAGCUCUUCAGAUUUUCUGGAAUAUUUACUGGAAUUAACAUGGACAUUUAUGUAUAUUUAUUUUAAAAGUUUAUACCCUGCCUUUCUUCCUUGGAAUUCAAGGCAACUCACAACAAAUAAUUAAAAACAGCAAUGAAAUAUAAACAAUCAAUUGUCUAAAAUUACAAAUCAAGCCAGAUCAGAGAAAAUGAAAAAGGAGAAACCGAAGAGAAAAGUGGGAAUGUUAGCUGAAACAGAAAUGUCUUUACCAGCUACCAAAUCAUCAUCAAGGUGGGAAACAGCCAAAUCCACUUUGGGAGCAAAUUCCAUUGGGCAGAGUCACCACCAAGGCCUUCCCUUGAGUGGCCACCAGCUGGGCCUCCAAAAGAGGCGACACACACAGAAGGGCCUCUCUAUGACUUCUUACAGGGUAAGCAGAUUUCUGUAGUAGGAGGUGGUACUUCAGGUACCUUGAUCCCAAACUGAUUAGCCCCUGGUGGCGCAGUGGUAAAACUGCUGCCCUGUAACCAGAAGGUUGCAAGUUCAACCCUGACCAGGGGCUCAAGGUUGACUCAGCCUUCCAUCCUUCCGAGGUUGGUAAAAUGAGUACCCAGAAUGUUGGGGGCAAUAUGCUAAAUCAUUGUAAACCGCUUAGAGAGCUCCGGCUAUAGAGCGGUAUAUAAAUGUAAGUGCUAUUGCUAUUGCUAAUGUUUGAAGGUCAAUACCAGCACCCUGAAUAUUCUCUUGUAACCUAUUAAAUGGUCUCACUAUGCUUAUUCCUUCUAAUAACUCAAUUGUGACAGCUAGUUUGCUUCUAUUGUGUAAAUUACCAUGUAAUGUUCUUUUCGUCUUGGUUUUUUGAAUUUGUUUAAAAAAAAAAUUCUAUUCA